rnacentral:tRNA from 1 species
GGGGGUGGGCAUAGCUCAGUGGUAGAGCACAUGCUUAGCAUGCAUGAGGUCCUGGGUUCAAUCCCCAGUACCUCCA